UACGUAGGGUGCGAGCGUUUGUCCGGAAUUAUUGGGCGUAAAGGGCUCGUAGGCGGUUUGUCGCGUCGGGAGUGAAAUCCACUGGCUUAACUGGUGGCUUGCUUUCGAUACGGGCAGACUGGAGGUAUGCAGGGGAGAACGGAAUUCCUGGUGUAGCGGUGAAAUGCGCAGAUAUCAGGAGGAACACCGAUGGCGAAGGCAGGUCUCUGGGCCACUACUGACGCUGAGAAGCGAAAGCAUGGGGGAGCGAACAGG
rnacentral:rRNA from 1 species